ACGGAAGGCAGCAGUGAGGAAUAUUGGUCAAUGGGCGAGAGCCUGAACCAGCCAAGUAGCGUGCAGGAUGACGGCCCUCCGGGUUGUAAACUGCUUUUAGUUGGGAAUAAAAGAAGCGACGUGUCGCUUAUUGUAUGUACCAUCAGAAAAAGGACCGGCUAAUUCCGUGCCAGCAGCCGCGGUAAUACGGAAGGUCCGGGCGUUAUCCGGAUUUAUUGGGUUUAAAGGGAGCGUAGGCGGGCCUUUAAGUCAGUGGUAAAAGCGCGUGGCUCAGCCAUACCACGCCAUUGAAACUGGAGGCCUUGAGUGCACACAGGGAUGCUGGAAUUCGUCGUGUAGCGGUGAAAUGCUUAGAUAUGACGAAGAACUCCGAUCGCGAAGGCAGGUGUCUGGGGUGUAACUGACGCUGAGGCUCGAAAGUGCGGGUAUCAAACAGGAUUAGAUACCCUGGUA
rnacentral:rRNA from 1 species